CUGUGCUUCUAAUAUGUAAAGCUGCUUUGAAACAAUUACCAAUUGUAAAAAGCGCUAUAUAAAUAAAUUUGACUUGACUUGACUCUCCUGAUCUGAGACCAGAGUGAAUAACAAACUACAGACACUUGAACUACAAUUCAAACUGUGUCAUUGUUCUCUACAGGUUGAGGGAUUGUGGUGUCACAGAUGAAGGUUGUGCUGCUCUGGCUUCAGCUCUGAGAUCAAACCCCUCACACCUGAGAGAACUGGAUUUGUCUGUGAAUAAACUAGGAGAAUCAGGAGUGAAGUUGCUCUCUGAUCUGAAGAAUGAUCCACAUUAUAAACUCAAGACAUUAUACUUUUGACUCUCAGUAUUUAGACGUCAGUUCAGUUUCCUCAGGAUCAGCUGAUGGUGAAUAAGGAGCCGCUACAGAGAUGAAGACACAGAGACACACAGCGAUCACACUGACAUGUGUGUGACUUCACACCGGUUUCUUGUUUUUUUUAGAUAAUGGCCCAAGAAUAUGAGUGCUGAAAAUAGCAAUUUGCAGUUCUAGACAUUGAUUACAAUGUAGAUGAUGUAACACUUAAUUUAAACUGCAAACAAGUAAUGCAUUCUCUGUAAAGCUGCUUUGAAACGAUACGUAUUGUGAAAAGCGCUAUACAAAUAAAUGUGAUUUGAAUUGAAUUAAUGCAAAGUGACAAAACUGAAUCAUUCCAUUUUCAUCAAGCCAUAGACAUGCUGUAAAUAAGAGAUAUAUUGUGCAGUACUUUAUUAAAAUGGUAGAAUAUGAUGUAUUAAUAUACUGUAACUGAACUUUAUUUCACCUUGAGUAAUUUUAAGAACACUUUUACGAGUUUUCCUUUGAGAAAAUCAAGAGUCUUUCUAAGAGACAGAUGUGUAAAUGUGUCUACCAGCAGAAGGUCACAAAGAUUAUGCAAAUAAUUUCACUGAAAAUGUUUGUCUGUAAAAUAAUUGUAUUUACCUAUUCUUGUAUGUGAUAAUCUAUUAAAGUUUCCAUAUAAAUCUUAUUGUU